AGGGCCCUACGGGAGGCAGCAGUGGGGAAUAUUGCACAAUGGGGGAAACCCUGAUGCAGCGACGCCGCGUGAGUGAAGAAGUAUCUCGGUAUGUAAAGCUCUAUCAGCAGGAAAGAUAAUGACGGUACCUGACUAAGAAGCCCCGGCUAACUACGUGCCAGCAGCCGCGGUAAUACGUAGGGGGCAAGCGUUAUCCGGAUUUAUUGGUGUAAAGGGUGCGUAGACGGGAAAAUAAGUUAGUUGUGAAAUCCCUCGGCUCAACUGAGGAACUGCAACUAAAACUAUUUUUCUUGAGUGCAGGAGAG
rnacentral:rRNA from 1 species